AGUGAACGCUGGCGGUAGGCCUAACACAUGCAAGUCGAACGGCAGCACAGUAAGAGCUUGCUCUUACGGGUGGCGAGUGGCGGACGGGUGAGGAAUACAUCGGAAUCUACUUUUUCGUGGGGGAUAACGUAGGGAAACUUACGCUAAUACCGCAUACGACCUACGGGUGAAAGCAUGGGAUCUUCGGACCUUGCGCGAUUGAAUGAGCCGAUGUCGGAUUAGCUAGUUGGCGGGGUAAAGGCCCACCAAGGCGACGAUCCGUAGCUGGUCUGAGAGGAUGAUCAGCCACACUGGAACUGAGACACGGUCCAGACUCCUACGGGAGGCAGCAGUGGGGAAUAUUGGACAAUGGGCGAAAGCCUGAUCCAGCCAUACCGCGUGGGUGAAGAAGGCCUUCGGGUUGUAAAGCCCUUUUGUUGGGAAAGAAAAGCAGCAGGUUAAUACCCCGCUGUUCUGACGGUACCAAAAGAAUAAGCACCGGCUAACUUCGUG
rnacentral:rRNA from 1 species